UAAACUUUAAAAAAUAAUAAAUCUGAUAUUUGACAUAGAUUGAGAGUUUUCACCUUCAAAUGUUUUGCCUCACUCACUCUACUUUAAAGGAUGUUUUUGUUUUGCUCUAGUUAACAGGUGGUGGACACCUGGCACAGCUAACAGAUACUGUGUGGAGCUGCAGCAGCUGAAGAAGCUAACUAUUAACCACUCAGAUGAACAUCAGCAGGUGUUUGCUGCUACUCAACCUUUGAGUUGUCUGUUCGUCCAUGACCAGAGAGAUGUAGCCCUCGAUCAGGGAGAAGGAGAAGAAGCGGAUGUGGCUGGAGUCCUCGCUGGAUGCUCCGCUCUCCUUUGGACUUUGGAGAGAGAAAGGCACAACACUCAAUGUGGUGUCACUUACAGUCAUGUCUAGUUAAACAACCGUUCAAAAGUUUGGAAUCAGCUGUUAUAUUGAUGUUUUUCUUCUUUCAUUUAAUAAUAACUAUUUUAACAGAGAUA